GCCCCUUCAAGAGCUAAGCCAUGAUGAGUGCCGGAGAUAAGCGCCGGAUGGGGC
rnacentral:sRNA from 1 species